AGCGAACGCUGGCGGCAGGCCUAACACAUGCAAGUCGAACGAACCUUUCGGGGUUAGUGGCGGACGGGUGAGUAACACGUGGGAACGUGCCUUUAGGUUCGGAAUAACUCAGGGAAACUUGUGCUAAUACCGAAUGUGCCCUUCGGGGGAAAGAUUUAUCGCCUUUAGAGCGGCCCGCGUCUGAUUAGCUAGUUGGUUGAGGUAAUGGCUCACCAAGGCGACGAUCAGUAGCUGGUCUGAGAGGAUGAUCAGCCACAUUGGGACUGAGACACGGCCCAAACUCCUACGGGAGGCAGCAGUGGGGAAUCUUGCGCAAUGGGCGAAAGCCUGACGCAGCCAUGCCGCGUGAAUGAUGAAGGUCUUAGGAUUGUAAAAUACUUUCACCGGGGACGAUAAUGACGGUACCCGGAGAAGAAGCCCCGGCUAACUUCGUG
rnacentral:rRNA from 1 species